UAUUGUGAGUAUUUUUUGUUUUUGAUGUUUUCUGCCACACUCAAUAAUUUUUCAGUUAUAUAGUGGCGCCCAGUUUUUAUUGGUGGAAGAGAGAACCCAGUUACAAUGUACCUGGGAAGAUAACCACCGACCUUCCGAAAGUAAACUGGGACACUUUCUCACUUACCGGCGCGAGCGGGAUUCGAACCCGCGCCGACAGAGACAAAUCAUAAUACGUUACAUUGUUGACAACUAGACCCUAGGCCAAGCUACUGUCACGGGUGCAUUUCGAAAAGAAAGAAAAAAGAAGAAAAAACCACACAAAUCAAUAAAAAUAAUCAAAUUUAAAGUGGAAAUCACAAUAUUUUAUUUUGAUAAAGCAAUCAUAUUAUUAAUUUUACAAAUUGUGAUCUGUACAUCGUUAGGAAGUGGGAGCAAGGCGUUAUACUGACGCACUCAAGAUGUUACGAGUUAAUGUGGAAAUAAUUUUAUAAUUCCAUUUAAAGUUAAGAAAUACAAUAUUCUAUUAUUUAUAUGAUUAAAAGUUCAAUUAUUUUGUAUCUUUAAAAUCUUUGUAAAUCUACCAGUUGGUAGAAACUGGAAGCACAAGUUAUAUAAACGGUAUGUUGUUACAAGGUGAAGGUUAGUUGAUCCGAGUGUGUAUUGAAUUUGAAGACCAGAACAGAAUUAUGUAGUGCUUAGCUUCGAUAUAUCCAUUUUCUCGCAGUUUAUCUGGGUUUCUGUCCAAGUGGUUUUUGAAAAGGUGACUGGGUGGUUUAUUUUAAAGGUAAAUUUCUUGCUCUAACAAAAACAUAUCCACGUCUUUUUUCUCGUACCUUCCUUCGAAAAAUUGAAAAAUACUCAGUCUAAAUCCUUUCUACCGACAACUAGUACACCCGAAUACGGCACAAAACAUCUUAAUGCAAUAUUAUUUACAAACUGUUAACGUGAUAAUUGUUUUUUUGUUUUUUUUGUCGAUUAAAUCUAAUUUGUUUAUGAAAUGACUUAUAGAUGUUUUCAAACCCGAGGGCACAUAUGACGUCACACAUAAUGGCACGUAAAAUAGCGAAAGUAAAUAUGCAUACCACGAUAUCGCAAGAUUUGAAUUCCAUCGCUUUCAAACUCGAAAACUACGCAACAUAUUUCAUUUAAAACACAUUUAAAGUGGUUUUAGGCAUGGAAAGAAUUUUGCUGAAAAAAGAAAAACGUUUAAAAACAUGCGUUGUGUCCUUUAAGAUAAAGGCAAACACAGACCCCUGGAUAUAACAGAUGUUGGAUUGGGUGCCUAGGAGGAGUAAGCAUCCCUAUGUUGACUGGUCAAACCUGCCUUGAGCCCUAUUAAUUGAUCACGUAAACGGAGUAAUUCUUAGUCAAAAUUAGUAUGUAAAAAUAUGGAUAUGAUGUUUAUGGAUCUGAAUUGAUUCUAUCCGAAAGCAUAUGCUGCGUAUGAUCAUUUGUUAAAUGGAGGUAGGCUACUGAAAAAUACGAUAAUGACAAAAACGUUGAUGUUACAGUCGCGUUUCAAGUCAAUAUUUUGCAUAUUCUAUGGCAGUUAUAAAUUAUUAUGAUUUAGUUUCAAAUUAAAAUCCAUCAAUAUUGUCUGGCGUGUUUCAUAGAAAUAAUUAUGCCGUUCUUUUAUGCUGAGUUUGACUACCGAGUACUCCGUUUACCUGAUCAAAACAGUAGUCUUACGGCGGGUGAAACUGGUUAACAGGGGAUGCUUACUCCUAGCAUCUGAUAAAUCUAUAGUGUUUCUGUCGUCCGUGUUUUCCCUACUCUGGAUUUGUGUUUUUUAUAACAUUUAUGAGAAUGGUUACGGUUUAUCAAAUUCUACAUAUUUGUAGUAUGAUAUGGCAUAGAAUGACUUAUAUAUGCUUAAAAACAAGAACAAGACCAUUAGUUAUGCUACCAUACUUAAAUUAUUUUGAAAUUUGGGUUAAACAUCUUCAAUAUUUGGGUCAUUGGUGUUAUUGAUAUCAAGGAAUAAGACAACACUCGGCAAUGGACUGCGAUGAUGGAAAUGAAUUGUGCAAAAAUCUCUUUUACGUCUUUCCUUAUGCAUUUAUGUGUUCUAAUAACAUUCAUUAAUAUAAGAUUCACUCUCUAACUUUCAUCCACUCCUAGAAUUAUUUAUUGAUUUCCUGAUAUAUACGGAGAUCAAAUUUAUCC